UGAGGAAUAUUGGGCAAUGCCCGCAAGGGUGACCCAGCAACGCCGCGUGGAGGAUGAAUGUCGUAAGAUUGUAAACUCCUGUUAGAGGGGAAGAAUAGUACCGGUUGGACCGGUAUAUGACUGUACCCUCAGAGAAAGCCCCGGCUAACUACGUGCCAGCAGCCGCGGUAAUACGUAGGGGGCAAGCGUUGUCCGGAUUUACUGGGUGUAAAGGGCGCGCAGGCGGGAUAAAAAGUCGGUGGUGAAAUCCUACAGCUUAACUGUAGAACUGCCUUUGAUACUUUUAUUCUUGAGUGCGGGAGAGAGAGACGGAAUUCCAGGUGUAGUGGUGAAAUACGUAGAUAUCUGGAAGAACACCAGUUGCGAAGGCGGUCUCUUGGUCCGACACUGACGCUGAGGCGCGAAAGCGUGGGGAGCAAACA
rnacentral:rRNA from 1 species